GUUCGAGUCCUGCCGGGCCCACCA
rnacentral:tRNA from 1 species